AGUUAAACCCCCACUAGAGCUUCUAACUCUAGGAUUAGCGUUUAUUCGUUAUUAGCUCUG
rnacentral:tRNA from 1 species